CAAUGCUGCUUACUGAAGAUACAAAGUGGGUACAGAAAAGAACCAUGUAGAAAACCAAGAACGGAGACGUUUUUUUAACAAGCCCAGGACACACAGGACGGAUGUUUCCAAGUCACUCGAGGGACACAUGCCUGUGUCUCAGAAGUUGCUUCCCUGCCUCUACUCUGUGAAUUUCCCAAACUCUCUAACUCUGAUUCAUCUUCAUUCACUCUUCCCUGUAGUUUGUGUGUAAAGAGCCCUUAAAGCAAUAUGGUGGAGGGUAAGAGUUGUGAGCCGGUGGCAGGCAAGGCCUAAACUUGGUACAGCAAAGGAAAUUUCGUGGUACUUGCUCCUGAGUCUGGGAAUCACAGGCUAGCCAGCCUCUCCCCUAUUACUAGGAAACAGUAGAACUUAGGGAAAUGGAUGAUUCCAUGUUUA
rnacentral:lncRNA from 1 species